UCUGUCGUGUAUGUGCCAGUUUGUCCAGACU
rnacentral:piRNA from 6 species